rnacentral:lncRNA from 1 species
CAGGUAGGGGCAGGAACAUAUAUAUAGGUAUACUGUUCCCAGGUAGGGGUUAUCCGACAUAUUUGUAAAAACUUAACUGUUCCCAGGUAGGGGUUAUCUGACAUAUUUGUAAAAACUUAACUAAUUUGUAGCGUUAAGACAGCAGACAAUGUCUUCCUAUAUGUAAACUAGUAGAUAACCAUUCAACCAACAUGGUAUAAUACAAAUACAUGAUUAUUAUCGACUGUACCAACUUCUUGGCAUAUUUAUGAAUUAACAAAUGGAUUUAUAUGACAAUUUAUCAC